CCCCUCUCAGGAUCACAGCUGGAGAGUUUCCAGUACUCUCCCACUCCCGGCUACAGGAGGGAGAGUCAAGCAGAGGCUUGUCCAUUCCAUUCCUGGCUUGGGAAGUGGCUAGCGAGUGGAAGGCCAUCUGCUACAAGU